AUUGAACGCUGGCGGCAUGCCUUACACAUGCAAGUCGAACGGCAGCACGGGUGCUUGCACCUGGUGGCGAGUGGCGAACGGGUGAGUAAAGUAUCGGAACGUACCAUUCAGUGGGGGAUAACUAUCUGAAAGGAUAGCUAAUACCGCAUAUUCUGUGAGCAGGAAAGCAGGGGAUCGCAAGACCUUGCGCUGAUUGAGCGGCCGAUAUCAGAUUAGCUAGUUGGUGGGGUAAAGGCCUACCAAGGCUACGAUCUGUAGCGGGUCUGAGAGGAUGAUCCGCCACACUGGAACUGAGACACGGUCCAGACUCCUACGGGAGGCAGCAGUGGGGAAUUUUGGACAAUGGGGGGCAACCCUGAUCCAGCCAUGCCGCGUGAGUGAAGAAGGCCUUCGGGUUGU
rnacentral:rRNA from 1 species